UACGUAGGGUGCAAGCGUUAAUCGGAAUUACUGGGCGUAAAGCGUGCGCAGGCGGUUUUGUAAGUCUGACGUGAAAUCCCCGGGCUCAACCUGGGAAUUGCGUUGGAGACUGCAAGGCUGGAGUCUGGCAGAGGGGGGGUAGAAUUCCACGUGUAGCAGUGAAAUGCGUAGAGAUGUGGAGGAACACCGAUGGCGAAGGCAGCCCCCUGGGUCAAGACUGACGCUCAUGCACGAAAGCGUGGGGAGCAAACGAAGGA
rnacentral:rRNA from 1 species